GGUCUCGAACUCCUGAGCUCAAAUGAUCCACCUGCCUCAACCUCCCAGAAUGCUAGGAUUACAAGCAUGACCCAUUGUUCCCGGCCAUAUAAGAGGAAUUGAUCGGAAGGGUAAAAGGUUUGUCUUGGAACUUAAGGAUGGGUUAUGAAACUUGGCUUUGGAGGAUUUAGGGAAAUUGAAAGCUAUCAGUGAGUGUUGAUUGAGUACCAACUACCAUGUGCUUGCCAGUGUAUGAGAUUUGGGAAGUACAGCAGUGAAUUAGACAGAGUCCUUGUAUACAAGUUAACAAACAAAACUCUACCAAUAGGUCAGGGGAUAAGUACAGGGUCAGGGCAGAGAGUAAUGGUAGGUGUUUGUGAUUUUAGGAAGGGUUGUCAAGAAUGGCAUAUUUGAUAAGGUGUUAUUUGAGCAGAGAUUGGAGUGAAGUCAGAAGAUGAAGAGGGAAGAUUUCUGGGGUAAGACCAAUCUAGUUUAAAAGAAACAGCAAGGACAGUGUCCUAAAACCAGAGUGUGUGUGUCAUCUCCUCCCCCUUCCCCACUUCUCCAUGGUUUCUCAUUUGCUUCUCUGUAUAAGUUACAUUUAUAGACACACAUUUUUACAUCAGACUCCCAAGAAAUAGAGCCAGUCUGCAACUACAUUGGUAAAAAGAAUAGGCUAAGACAAAUAAGAGACUGUGAAAUAUAGCCAAAAUAUACUUCUCAGUCACCUCUGGCCAUGCAGCAUUUUAGACAUUCAGGCUCUCACUCCAGCAUGAGGUAUGUUUAAUAAAUAAGAUUAUUUGAGUGUGGGGGGGGAAUUGAAGUUACCAAAAUGAGGUUCCUACUAGGGCUUGCAUAAAAAGUUUUCUUAAGAAGGAGAAAGCAUUGUAAUUUGACUCCCUAGCCAAAGGCAAUUCAAAACAUCUCAAAGUUUAGGUCACUUAUUCCACUCUUAUCUCUAAUACCAAGUGUUAUUUCAUCUCACAAAUGUGGCCAUUCUCCAUAGAUGGAAGGAGCCAACUGUGUUCCAGGACUAUGUUAGAAGAAUGCACCUCAGAGACCUUGAGUGUGGUUCUCAUUUUCCAUAUUAGAAUUGCUGCUGCAAUCUAUCUGGACUCUUCCACAGCCCACUGACGAUCACACAUCAUUGCCAUCAUGGACAUGGUGCUCAUCCCCCGUGGCGGAUGCAGCCGUAGGUACCAUCUUGGAAGCAGGGACUGGGGCCCUCACCAGACACCAAGCCUGCCAGAGCCUUGAUCUUGGACUUUCCAGCCUCCAGAACCGUGAGAAAUAAAUUUCUUUUCUUUAUAAAUUGCCUAUUCCCAGGUAUUUUGUAAUGGACUAAAACACCAACUUUGGUGGAAUUGCAAGGACUUGAAGGGGAGUAGAUUUUUUACUGCUUGGAAGGUAGCAUCAUAUAAGUCGCAGCUACUUACCUUGCGAGAGAUCUUUAUUCUAUUUACUGCAAAUAACAUUAAGGUCAUGACAGUAGUGAGCAGUGCCCAGGAAAGGCAAAGAACAACUUUACACUUUUUUUUUUUAAAACAUUUUAGAAUUUUUAAUAGCACUUUUUUUCUAGCUUUAGACCAAGGACCCUGCAAUUUCAUUUUGCACUAACCCCACGAAUUAUAUAGCUGGUGGCUCUGCCUCAGAUUUAACUACGGCCCUGUGACCUAUCACGUCCAUAAAGGAAGUUAAGGACCCACAUGGCUCAGUAAUGCAUUGAGUAAGAUAGUAAUCCUUCUUGAACUUGCACUCUUUUUCUGAUCUACAUUGUACUCCAGUGUACAUUGUAUCUACAUUGAUCUACAUUGUACUCCAUUGUACACCAAGUUCCUGUGCUGACCAAGACUUUCCAUCUGGAGUCUUGCCCCCAAACCCCUUUACCCUUUUUAAUCUAACUACACUCUGAGAAAGCAAGCAGAAUUGCCCGGGUUAAGGGCAGAUUCUCAGAUUUCCUUUCGAAUUUCCUGCCCUUUGUUGUCCUUUCUAGAAGCCUUAACAAUGCUUGAAACUUGUUUCUUUUCUAUUUCACUUCCUCUGCUUAAAAAACAUGAAGGGGGAGGUUUCAAAGUGUUUGGUGUUAUCUUAGAAGCCAAAGUGAAUCCGAACAUGCCUUUUUGUCAUUUUUUGUGCUAUUUUUCAAAGUGAAAGGGACCUUAAAAGAUCAUCAUGUCUAGGCCACCUAUUUGGUCAGAGAGCAGGCACGGAGAGGAGUUGAGUAACUGCCCGUGAACACAAAGCCAGUUCUUGGUCACUUCAGAGUGUUCUCUGCUGCAACCUGCUUCCACUCCCAGUAUGGUGCAUUCUCCUCCGGGAGAAAUCAUAUCGCAGUGUUACACAAUUAAUUUUUACAUGAGGCAAUGACCUCAGGGAGAGGAGAUGAAGGCAUAUUGCUUUCCAUAUAUCUGGAUGGCAUAGACCAUAUCUUCACUAGAUACUUGAAAAUCUAAUAAAGUUGUUGCGCAUUUUCUUCUCUAAUUCUUUCAUCAGCCGUGAAUCAAAGUAUGCCGGUUUUAUUUCCUUGAGAAGGAGAGCCAAACACAGUUUUAUUUCAAUAUUUUAGAAUUCCACAAUCUUAAGGCACCUCAUUGCCUCCCUAUCUCUGCAUGUCAAACUUACCAAUUUUAUUAGCAUGUUGCCAAAUAUAACAUAGUAAGUGUCUCAAAGCCAAAGCUGAUCGGCUCUCGCCUGAUAAACGUGCAAGAGUCAGCAGAGGAUUUGAAAAUUGAACCCGAUUCUCAAGUUACUGCCAAUUUGCCAGAUUUAACACUGGUUAUGAACAAUAUUUUAAAACCAGAUUAUUUGGUUCUAGAAGGGUUCUGUAGAGAUCCUAAGCACUCCUGGGAACUUACUUUAUUGUAACAAAGAUUGAUUCCAUUGUAUCUUUGAAAGCCUGGGAGCACAGAAGUAACCAAAAAAUAUUAUAUUUCAAUUUGUCUAUUCACUCAAAUUUCCUGAAAGAUUUUUUAGUCGUCAUCACACUGUUGCAUUCUAUUGAUGAGUAGGAACAGAUUCACCAAACUCUUAAUUAUCUUGUCAUUCCUUUCCUGUAAUUUUCUCCGGUGUUUGCGUGAGAGAGCAUUGCCUGGAACGUUCGUUUUCUAAGGAGAGAGUGCUCGUGCGGCACUUUUUACUGUCUGGAGGAUUUUCACGUGUACUUCAAGCAUGUUUGAUCUUCACCUUGACUCUAGAAGGUACUGUUUCAUAGAUCAGGAAAUGGAGGUUCCUAGAAGUUAAGAGGCUUGUCUGUAGUCCCCAGCGCUCGUACAUGUCAGGGCCUGAAGUCACGCUCAAGUUUUUGACCUAGAACUCUUGGGCUUCACCAAGCUGUCCUUAUUUGUCUCCUAAAAUAAUGCAAGUAAUUACAAAAAAACCCCACAAAUUUCUUUUAUAAGAAACUGCUUCCCUGCCCCCUACAUAACUCCCUUUAACUUCUACGAGCCAUCUCCAGUGUCUUUGCUUUCUAGUGGAAUGAGUGUAAAGCUCGACUGUUGAAUUUUAUAAUGAGAAAAUCUAUUUUUCCGUAGAGUGUCAGGAAGGAUGAAGGCUUAUGUGUCACCGUUGGCUUUGUCUCUCAUUAGCUGUCUCUCGUUGACCUUGAACAAGUUAUUUUCAUCUCUUUGACCCUUAAUUUCCUCCCCUAUAAAAUGGUGAUGAUAAAAUUACAUGGCUGUUGUGACGAAUACAUGAAAUAAUCAUGACAACAGUCAGUACUGGACUAAGCAUUUGGUCCGCAUUCAAUAAAUGGUGACAAUAGUAAUCAUUAUUAUUAUUUCCACCACAGAUCUGAUUUCUAAGGUAGAUGGCCCCUUUUCUUGAACUGAAAUGUGGUUAUCCACAUUAGGGAAUUGGAUGCAUAUUUUCAAAUACCAAUAUCAGAGAGUUAAAUCAUGUCUCUUUACAUUCCAAUUAAAACUCUAGUGUUAGAAGAGAGAAUCAAAUGGGCAGGUUAAACAAUUAUUCAUUGUAAAAAUUCAAGUGGUGACAAGGUCUGGGCAGGAAGGAUGCAAGCACCUUCUCUAGGGGAACAUUGCACCUUAUCACCAGCUGCCUGUUGUCAUGGGAUGAUGUCGGCCCACUGGUGCCAGAUAGUUUUAUUCUCUUAAGUAGAGUUGGAAAACCUUUUCAUGUGCAAUCUUCUGACUUUGAAACUUGGUUCACGUUUUUAAAAGAGAAGAGUUUAGGCCAAACAGAACAACCUGUGGACUGUCACCAGCUCAGGCACCUGUCAUAGCAGUCUCUGCUUUAGCCUCUCCCAGCCCUGUCUACCCCCAAGUUAAUUGCUUGUCCGAAACCAAGCAUUUUGGACCUGGUUAUAUCACCUUUUAAAGAAAUUCCUUUCCCGAACGUGGUAGUACUUUGGGCCCUUUUCCAAAGGGAAAUAUGGAAAUCAUCUGUUUUGACAAAUGUUUUCACUUGCUUAAUAAAACUAAUUGAAAAACCUUUUUAGGCCCUGGGCAUGCACCAGAACCCUCCAGCACAGUUUGAAAAAGGGGGGGAAAGCCUCCAUCGAGAAAUUUAUCAGUGAAAAUUCUAACCUCACAGGAAAUCGAUAUUCGGACCAAAGUCCAUGCUUCGUUGAAGCAAAUGGCUCACCUCAGGGGCUUAUUUUCCUGCUUCUCUAAUAGUCAUUACCUUUAAAAAAAAAAAUCUGUUCUUACCAGAUUUUAUAUUAGUUUUUGCUCUUUCCAUUAAGCUGCGUCAGCACUUAGAAAUAAAGUAUUAUUUCAGUGGUAAAUGAAUAACUUAAUUAAAAAAAGCACAUCUUCAUAUAGACCUUUUCCAUUUCCAAAGUUCUUUCAAUAAAAAUCAUUUUUGUGCAUUUUAAAAAUUCCCUACAAGAGCCUAAGCAUCUUGGGGAAGGACCACGUCUCACACUUGUCCACCCCUUCUAGGAGUUUCGUUUGAGGGCUGUCACAGAGCACAUAGUGCAUAUUUGUUUGUGUUGACUAACUUUCCUGUUAACAAAUUGUUUAGUUGAAUUGGAACGUUAUAAAACUGCGUAAAUUGUGUGCUCAUUAUCUUGCCUCCAUCAGACUGUGCAUUUUACCAAAGUUAUUUUGACUAUCACCAAGAAAGUUAUUUAAUCAUCUUUUAUUUUCAGUAAUCUCUGAGUUAUUUUCCUUGUUGCUACAGCACACCAUCCAAGUUCUCCCAACUGAGGGAGAAUUGUUUUCUCAGCUGCCAUAACUUUAUAUAAAGUACCAACUUUUAAAGCACUUCUUAACACAAGCAUAAAGUUAUUAUUUUGACGGUUCGUGAAAUGGUGCCGCAUUCUGCUCCCUCACUUGACAUAGGAUAUCCAUUUGCAUUGAUGUGGCUUAAUUAAUUUUCAGCUGGCUUCCUCUUUUCUUCAGCCCCAGCGCCUAUAUUCUGAUUUUUGCCUCAUCUCAUAGUCCUAUAGUCAGGCGUUGCCAGUUAAAUGCACUGUUAAAAUCAGCUUUAUCAAUGAAAAACUAAAAAUGCCAUGUAGUGAGGACACUGUUUACUGCAGAUUGCUCACGUCUCCCUGGCUUUCACAAGUAUAUUUUACCCACAUGAUUCCCACUAAAGAUGAAGAAGGAAGGCGACUGAGAGUGCUAAAAGUGUUCCAGCUUUUUGAAUAUAGAAUGGAUGCUAGUAUUCUGAAAUACCGCCUUUGGCAACAAUGCCACUUCUACCUGUAAGAGUCAUUUUAAAUGUUUCGGUUUGGUUUCCUGUUAUGUAACCUGACUGGGACAUAUAUUAUCCCCCUCACCUCUCCAAAAAAGAGGAGAAUUCAGCAAGUGUUGGGGGAAUUCAAACUGCACUUCAUUCCUCAGUGAUCCAAGAAAUUCAGGAAUGAGCAAAAAAAAAA